rnacentral:rRNA from 1 species
CUACCUGCAGUCGACGAUGAUCAGGAGCUUGCUCCUGUGAUUAGUGGCGAACGGGUGAGUAACACGUGAGUAACCUGCCCCUGACUCUGGGAUAAGCGUUGGAAACGACGUCUAAUACUGGAUACGACUGCCGGCCGCAUGGUCUGGUGGUGGAAAGAUUUUUUGGUUGGGGAUGGACUCGCGGCCUAUCAGCUUGUUGGUGAGGUAAUGGCUCACCAAGGCGACGACGGGUAGCCGGCCUGAGAGGGUGACCGGCCACACUGGGACUGAGACACGGCCCAGACUCCUACGGGAGGCAGCAGUGGGGAAUAUUGCACAAUGGGCGAAAGCCUGAUGCAGCAACGCCGCGUGAGGGAUGACGGCCUUCGGGUUGUAAACCUCUUUUAGUAGGGAAGAAGCGAAAGUGACGGUACCUGCAGAAAAAGCACCGGCUAACUACGUGCCAGCAGCCGCGGUAAUACGUAGGGUGCAAGCGUUGUCCGGAAUUAUUGGGCGUAAAGAGCUCGUAGGCGGUUUGUCGCGUCUGCUGUGAAAUCCCGAGGCUCAACCUCGGGCUUGCAGUGGGUACGGGCAGACUAGAGUGCGGUAGGGGAGAUUGGAAUUCCUGGUGUAGCGGUGGAAUGCGCAGAUAUCAGGAGGAACACCGAUGGCGAAGGCAGAUCUCUGGGCCGUAACUGACGCUGAGGAGCGAAAGCGUGGGGAGCGAACAGGAUUAGAUACCCUGGUAGUCCACGCCGUAAACGUUGGGCGCUAGAUGUAGGGACCUUUCCACGGUUUCUGUGUCGUAGCUAACGCAUUAAGCGCCCCGCCUGGGGAGUACGGCCCCCAAGGCUAAAAACUCAAAGGAAAUU